CCGAACUGUAAACACGAGUUGUUGCUGGUCCUCAAACCGAGGGCAUGUGCACGCUCUGUUCACACAUCCACUCACACCUGUGCACCCACUGUAGUUCUAUGGUGUGGGGGACUCUGUCCUCCUGCUGUGGUUCUGCGUCUUUACAACACACGAUGUAAUAGUCUCAUGGAAUGUACACCGCGUUUAACGCAAUACAAUA
rnacentral:misc_RNA from 1 species